UAUUUAUUUAUUUAAUUAAUUUUAUUUUUUAUUUUAUUUUUUUAGUUUUUUCGUUUUUUUUAAUUUUUUUUUAAUUUUUUCCGUUUUUUUUUAUUUAUUUAUUUUCCGCUUUUUUAUUAUUAUUUGUUUUUUUUUCGUUUUUUUUUUAACUAAAGUUUCUUGGAUCUGAUUCUGAUUGACAUGAUGAAAUGCAAUAUGAAAUGUUAAAUGACCUAAAAAUGAAUGCAUGAAUGAGGAGGGCAAAUUUUGGGUG
rnacentral:lncRNA from 1 species